rnacentral:rRNA from 1 species
GAUGAACGCUGGCGGCGUGCCUAAUACAUGCAAGUCGAGCGAACGGACGAGAAGCUUGCUUCUCUGAUGUUAGCGGCGGACGGGUGAGUAACACGUGGAUAACCUACCUAUAAGACUGGGAUAACUUCGGGAAACCGUAGCUAAUACCGGAUAAUAUUUUGAACCGCAUGGUUCAAAAGUGAAAGACGGUCUUGCUGUCACUUAUAGAUGGAUCCGCGCUGCAUUAGCUAGUUGGUAAGGUAACGGCUUACCAAGGCAACGAUGCAUAGCCGACCUGAGAGGGGGGACGGCCACACUGGAACUGAGACACGGUCCCGACUCCCACGGGAGGGAGCAGUAGGGAAUCUUCCGCAAUGGGGGAAAGCCUUACGGAGCAACGCCGCGUGAGGGAUUAAGGGCUUCGGAUCGUAAAACUCUUUUAUUAGGGAAAAAAAAAUGUGUAAGUAACUAUGCACGUCUUGACGGGACCUAAUCAGAAAGCCCCGGCUAAAUACGUG